AGAUGCACCGCACCGGUACCCGGCUUGCACGUCAUCUGCAAGACGGCUUGCAUGAAGCUAGAGUGGAUAAAGCAUAAACUCCUGCGUAAAAGUGCGCGGGCCGCCGCAGGCCACUGCGUCGCACAAUACCGCAGGAGUGCAGCUUCGCCCAUUGUGGACGGCGAUGCCACCGCCUCCUCGCCGACGGCGUCCGCGUCACUCAAGCAGAGCGCGUACGUAAUCGCAGAAAGGAUGGAGCCGUCGGGAUGCGCAUGUCUGCUCGUGGGGCGUCGCCGGCAGAAACCGUCCUUAUCUUUGCCUGCAAGCCCGCGUCGUCGUGUGGUGAUCCCUGGAAUCGUGCCGGGCACGGUGCUGCGUACGCGCGCCUCUGUUGUCGAGUGGAUUCACAAGUGCAGGCAGCUUCCGGCUUCCACCGAGUACACGGUGCUGAUGAGGAGCGGCAAGCAGGUUCCACGACAUGCAGCCGACGCGGGCCUGGCAGCGCUGCCUUGCGGACUGGCCGCUGCAAACGCAUGCCAGCGAUGCCCGUGGAUGGCGGUCGGAAACAGCGGCGAGAGCGCUGCGGCAAAGCACACUUGCUGGCGCACGUCUCUUGAGAGUGCGGUGCGAAACAUGUGGGCGUCGUCCGCCACUGCGGACGGUGCUGCAACCCUGAUCCGCACCCACGACGAUGCCAUGCGCUGCUGCUCGUUUCUGGAGCCUUUCGCGGUGAAGGUGACACCGAAUCGACUCCUGGGCCUUCAGCUCUUCUUUGCGCCACUGGAGUGGGCUGACUCACCGGCGUCGUCGCGCAGCCGUCUCGCAGACUCCGCAGCGCCCGCCUGUGGCACACCCGCUGCUGCGACGGCGGUGGUGUGCAUUGAGCGAGAGGGCCUGUCGCGUCCCCUGUCUGUUGCUGCUCACGUUUGCCACAGAGAGCCGGCGUCACCGGCCGCUGCUUCAGGCGGCGCCGCAGAGCUCUCUCCAGAGGCACUCGACCUUGCGCAGGAGUGCCUGCUGGAGUCUCUGGAGCAGAAGCGGCUGGUCCCCGCUCUCCAGCGGUGGGCCACGCAGCUCCCCACCUCCACCCAGGCACGGCUUCUUGGCGUCUUCAUUUCUCAACCGUUCACAUGCGCGCCGUACUCAGAGACGACUACAUCGCUGCAGGUGAUUCUCGUGGUGGAGCGCAACACGGACGUGCUUGGCAUGCAGAGCCCUUUGUGCAGCCCGUCCCACCCUGCCGACCUCCUCUCCACUGAGGAGCGGCAUUUGGUGGAGGUGGUCGCCGCGGCGGCGCCGCUGAUCUAUGACGUCGAGGUGCUUGUAUGGGUGCAGAGCACAUGCAGCGAGGCACGGGGGACAGCUGCCGGAGCGACCGCUCUUCAUCGACUCUACCCAACUCUCAGUCGUGAUGCCUUACCGGCGGAUGUGCGGUGCGAGGAUUGGCAGAACGGGUUUCCCCUUGCCAAGGGUGGGACGGCAGCGCGCGAGCUGGCGCGCGGUCAAGUGACGCAGACGGUUCGCUGCUGGUGCCACCCGCUGCUCGAGGAGCUGUCGGUAAAACUCCCUCCCUAUCACGCGGCCUUGUGCGCUGUGCCUCUUCCAUGGUUUGGUAAGGCGUGCCGCCGCCGUCCUCAGUUGAGGCCCAGCUCUGAGCAUCGCACAGCGUCGUCCCCUGCACUGGACAUCGGCACCGCCGCUGGCAAAGCCGAGCGCGCAUUCGCCAGCGCCUACUCACAGCGGCUUCCGUGGGUUCCGACUUUCUGGCGUCACCCCGGCGCGCUCGACGCCUGCUGCUCCGUGCUCCUCAGCGUCCUCCUUGAGGGCACGAUCUUGCCCACCAGGUCAACAUCUGCGGUCACCGAGAGCGACACGCCUCAUCGGCCAGGGAGCGUUGAGGUGUGCGCCCCUCGUCUCUCUGCGCACUUGUUUGCAGCCGCGGAGGCAGACGUUGGCGCCGCGGCCGGGCAGACGAUUCUGGACGGUGCAGUCGUGGCACUCGCGGGAGAGGCGGAGCGCGUAGUCGCUCUCGGCGGGAAGUCGGAGCAGCCCGGCCAUUUUGCCUCCUGUGGUGCACCGUUGCCACCUAAAUCAUUUUCUGCAUCGCCGGCGCCUCGUCGCGUGCUCGUGUCCGUGCGAGAGGGCGACGGGGCCGCUACAGCUGUGACGACGGCGUUCGUGAAGCAAGUUCUGGGCGCAGUCCAUACACAGCCAGCACGCUUGUGCUUCUACGAGUGCACUUCUACCAUGAAUGCCGCGGCACUCGGCGCGCAGGUUGCCGCGAUACUUCAGCACGCGCAGCGCGUCGCUCAAUCGGUCUCUGUCGAUACCGGCAUCGUGGAUGUUGAUCCGCUCGCCUCGUCGUUCGUAGCGUACGCGUGUGUGUCCGUGCAUGUGUGAGGAAACAGCCGAAGAACCGUCGCCGCACUGCUUCGCCGCGCGUCUGCUUUGCCGAGAGAAGGAGCACCGUCACCGGCAUGGGUAGGCGCGGCAACGGCUCGUGCCUUGCGUGUUGCCGUGGGCGUGCCCAUCGCGCCGCCUACUCCCCCUCUUUGUACGCGCGCGUGCAUGUCUUCACACACCUCGCCCGUGUUUAGAGCGGGACGGCG
rnacentral:misc_RNA from 1 species